AGCGAACGCUGGCGGCAGGCCUAACACAUGCAAGUCGAACGACCUCUUCGGAGUUAGUGGCGCACGGGUGCGUCACGCGUGGGAACGUGCCUUUUGGUUCGGAAUACCUCCGGGACACUUGUGCUAAUACCGAAUGUGCUCUUCGGAGGAAAGAUUUAUCGCCAUUGGAGGGGCCCGCGUCUGAUUAGCUAGUUGGUAAGGUAAAGGCCCACCAAGGCGACGAUCAUUAGCUGGUCUGAGAGGAUGAGCAGCCACACUGGGACUGAGACACGGCCCAGACUCCUACGGGAGGCAGCAGUGGGUAAUCUUGCGCAAUGGGCGAAAGCCUGACGCAGCCAGGCCGCGUGAGUGAUGAAGGUCUUAGGAUUGUAAAACUCUUUCACCCGGGACGAUAAUGACGGUACCCGGAGAAGAAGCCCCGGCUAACUUCGUG
rnacentral:rRNA from 1 species